AGCGAACGCUGGCGGCAGGCUUAACACAUGCAAGUCGAACGGUCCUUCGGGAUAGUGGCGGACGAGUGAGUAACACGUGGGAACGUACCCUUAGGUUCGGAACAACACAGGGAAACUUGUGCUAAUACCGGAUAAGCCCUUCGGGGGAAAGAUUUAUCGCCUUUGGAGCGGCCCGCGUCUGAUUAGCUUGUUGGUGAGGUAAUGGCUCACCAAGGCUACGAUCAGUAGCUGGUCUGAGAGGAUGGCCAGCCACACUGGGACUGAGACACGGCCCAGACUCCUACGGGAGGCAGCAGUGGGGAAUCUUGCGCAAUGGGCGAAAGCCUGACGCAGCCAUGCCGCGUGGAUGAUGAAGGUCUUAGGAUUGUAAAAUCCUUUCACCGGGGACGAUAAUGACGGUACCCGGAGAAGAAGCCCCGGCUAACUUCGUGCCAGCAGCCGCGGUAA
rnacentral:rRNA from 1 species